GGCGGCGGCAGGGCUGAGAGCGAGAGCGAGAGCGAGAGAGGCGCCUGAGGGCCGGGCUGCAGUUCACUAAAAUUGUGCAACACUCUUACAAAAAGGAACAAAGUAUAUGUAUGUGUGUUUGUGUCUGUGCAGAGAAGAGACAAAUGCACUCUCCUUGUCUAAUGUAUGACGCUUGCGCCUCCUGCCCUCUACAGCUGUAGAAGAUACAACCUUUUGGUCACUGUCUUUGUCAGAAACAAUGUGGCACGUUUUUAAACAGUGACUUCACUCCAGAUGACAGCAGCAGAAAUAGAAGCAUGGAAAAGAUGGCAGGCAACAGACAUCCACCCUUAAGCUUGGUUCUGUUAUUGACUCUGGCAACUAAUAGCACGGAGUGUUCAUUUUAAACCAUCAGAUCUCAGGAAAAUGAACCUCCAAAGAGAAAUACAGUGAGCCUUCCACAUUCGCUGGAGUUAGGAGCUCAGGACCCAAAUAAGAAACCACUGGGUUUUUCAACCUGGGAGAACACUUCUCUAGGAAUCUCUGGUACAACUAUAUGGUCAACAUCUGUUUAUUAGCUAUAUUACUGAUACUCUUUCUACAGAAGGUUUACCUUAUUAUUAUUAUUAUUAUGUUUAUGUUUAUUUAUAUUCCGUCUUCCUCCCAGUACAAGGAGGAAUCAAUCUUACUUAAAGCUGUGGAAUAACAGGCUGUGAACGUGAUUGAUUUUGUUAUGUACAUGGUGACCAAUCAAUGUUGUAAGCAGAGAAAAGGAGGGUAGGGGUGAAGUGAGGUGGUGGUAAUUGCAAAAAGAAAAAAAAGAAAAAUAAAGGUUCUCAAGAUCUGG